CGGGUGCGUAACGCGUGGGAAUCUACCUUGUAGUGGGGGAUAGCCCGGAGAAAUCCGGAUUAAUUCCGCAUAAUCUCUACGGAGCAAAGUGGGGGAUCUUCGGACCUCACGCUAUUAGAUGAGCCCGCGUUAGAUUAGCUUGUUGGUGGGGUAAUGGCUCACCAAGGCAACGAUCUAUAGCUGGUUUGAGAGGAUGAUCAGCCACACUGGGACUGAGACACGGCCCAG
rnacentral:rRNA from 1 species